CCAUGCCGCGUGUGUGAAGAAGGUCUUCGGAUUGUAAAGCACUUUAAGUUGGGAGGAAGGGCAGUAAGUUAAUACCUUGCUGUUUUGACGUUACCGACAGAAUAAGCACCGGCUAACUUCGUGCCAGCAGCCGCGGUAAU
rnacentral:rRNA from 1 species